rnacentral:lncRNA from 1 species
GUGGGCUAACCAGAGGCUUGGGGAAGCCGAGCUGCCACCUCCUGUGGGGUUGAUGAGACACAGGGCCACAAGGGUCAUGAUGUCAAAGAUGAAGAGAAACGUGAAGUACAGGAAGGGAUGCAGAGUGAACAUAAACCGCAGACAAGGGUGCACGUGCUGGCGUGGGAACGGUGGACCUCUCAGCAGAUGGGGGCUCCAGGGUGGGUGGGCCUUCUGUACUGCCCCCUUCUGCUACUUUUCUGGCCUGUGGGUUCCCUCACCCUUCUCUUGUCCGUCCAUACUCUUUCAUUUGCUCUCCCUUUGUAGAAUAUAGUCUCUGGCCUCCUGAUGGUUCCCCUUUAGUUCUCCCUAUUACUAUGUGUUUUUAUCUCUUUUUCUCCCCAACUGUGAAAGAUGUCAUCCAUAGAGAAGAGCAUAUCCAAUAUAAGUGUAUAGUUUUGUUAUUAAGUAGAGAUGGGAUCUUGCUAUGUUGCCCAGGCUGGUUUUGAACUCCUGGGCUCAAACAGUCCUCCCACCCUAGCCUCCCCAAGUGCUGGGAUUACAGGCAUGAGCCACUGUGCCUGGCCAUAAAUGUAUAGUUUAAAGAGUAAAAUGGAUAGUGUUUCCAUCUUUAAGGAACAGAACACUACCAACUACCUUAGAAGCACUCGUAUGUCUUCACCCGGUUGAAUGCCCCACCCUCUCUACCAAAGUAAGUGCUAGCCUGACCUGUAGUGAAUAAUUUCCUUGCUCUUCACAUACUGUUCAUUUUUAAAAACAUUGAGCAUCAAGCACAGAUUAGCUGUGUGGGGAAAGCACAGUGUUUCCAAUGUUGAAUGAAGUCUGCUGGAGAACAUAAUGUGAUCUCAAGGUCAGAGUGGACUUCAGCUUCUCCAAGAAUUUACAAGGGGCCCUUCUGGGGAAGCCAGGGAGCAGCAAGGCUUGAAUGAGUCCUGGGCGUAGCAGGGCUGCCACCAUCAGGGCCCGUGGCCACACUAUCCAUGGACCAGACCCUGAUCAUCUGGCAAGAAUGUGGAUGGAGGGUGCCGGCUGCUGAGUUCUGUUUUUGUAGUCCCCACAGCUGACCUUUUGAUUUCGGGAGGACGUCAAAGCCGAGCGCUGCUGUGGGAUGGAGUGAGGAUCUUCAGCUGAUCUGGAGGGCAGGAAGCUUCUCCAUCAUGUCAAGGGAUUUUCCUCAUGUACCUUCUGUGGCUAUUUCUU